GGGAUAACCCGGAGAAGUCCGGCCUAAUACCGCAUGUGGCCGAGGGGAGGCAUCUUCUUUCGGCCAAAGGAGGCAACUCCGGAGACGGAUGGGCAUGCGUGACAUUAGCUUGUUGGCGGGGUAACGGCCCACCAAGGCGACGAUGUCUAGGGGUUCUGAGAGGAAGGUCCCCCACACUGGUACUGAGACACGGACCAGACUCCUACGGGAGGCAGCAGUGAGGAAUAUUGGUCAAUGGGCGAGAGCCUGAACCAGCCAAGUCGCGUGAAGGAUGACGGCCCUACGGGUUGUAAACUUCUUUUGUCAGGGAGCAAUUGAGUCCACGUGUGGGCUUAGCGAGAGUACCUGAAGAAAAAGCAUCGGCUAACUCCGUGCCAGCAGCCGCGGUAAUACGGAGGAUGCGAGCGUUAUCCGGAUUUAUUGGGUUUAAAGGGUGCGUAGGCGGAAUAUCAAGUCAGCGGUAAAAAUUCGGGGCUCAACCCCGUCGUGCCGUUGAAACUGAUGUUCUUGAGUGGGCGAGAAGUAUGCGGAAUGCGUGGUGUAGCGGUGAAAUGCAUAGAUAUCACGCAGAACUCCGAUUGCGAAGGCAGCAUACCGGCGCCCAACUGACGCUGAAGCACGAAAGCGUGGGUAUCGAACAGGAUUAGAUACCCUGGUAGUCCACGCAGUAAACGAUGCAUGAUAGUUGUCCGGA
rnacentral:rRNA from 1 species